GCCCGUCUAGCUCCGUUGGUAGACCGCAAGGCUCUUAACCUUGUGGUUGUGGGUUUGAUCCCCACGGUGGGCA